rnacentral:RNase_P_RNA from 1 species
CAAGUCAGCCGGGCGGCCGCGGCCAUCUUUUCGGAGAUGGUCGAGGAAAGUCCGGACACCACAGGGCAGGGUGGUGGGUAACGCCCACCCGGGGUGACCCGCGGGAAAGUGCCACAGAAAACAAACCGCCUCGGCUGAGGUAAGGGUGAAACGGUGGUGUAAGAGACCACCAGCACCGCAGGUGACUGCGGUGGCUAGGCAAACCCCACCUGGUGCAAGACCAAGAGGGCCUUCCGCUUCGCGGAUCGCCUGCGCAGACGGGUGGCCCGCCCCAAGUCUGCGGGUAGGUCGCAUGAGGCCGUCGGCAACGGCGGCGCCUGAGAUGGAUGGUCGCCCCCGCUGAUGCGGGACAGAAUCCGGCUUACAGGCUGACUUGUCAC